GAUUAACGUUGGCAGUGCGCCUAACACAUGCAAGUCGAGCGAUAUAGCGGCAGACGAGAGAGUAAUAGUAAGGAACUUACCCCCGAGUGAAGGAUAGCCAGCCGAAAGGUUGGGUAAUCCUGCAUAAUAUCGAAAGAUCAAAGCCUUCGGGCGCUUGGGGAGAGGCCUUACUCCUAUCAGCUAGUUGGUGAGGUAAAGGCUCACCAAGGCGAUGACGGGUAGCUGGUCUGAGAGGAUGAUCAGCCUCGAUGGGACUGAGACACGGCCCAUACUCCUACGGGAGGCAGCAGUUGGGAUUUUGCACAAUGGAGGAAACUCUGAUGCAGCGACACUGCGUGAAGGAUGAAGGUUUUCGGAUCGUAAACUUCUUUUAGUGGGGAGUAAUCUUGAAAGUACCCACUGAAUAAGGACCGGCUAACUACGUGCCAGCAGCCGCGGUAAU
rnacentral:rRNA from 1 species